rnacentral:rRNA from 1 species
UACGUAGGCAGCAAGCGUUGUUCGGAAUUACUGGGCGUAAAGGGCUCGUAGGCGGCCAACUAAGUCAGACGUGAAAUCCCUCGGCUUAACCGGGGAACUGCGUCUGAUACUGGAUGGCUUGAGGUUGGGAGAGGGAUGCGGAAUUCCAGGUGUAGCGGUGAAAUGCGUAGAUAUCUGGAGGAACACCGGUGGCGAAGGCGGCAUCCUGGACCAAUUCUGACACUGAGGAGCGAAAGCCAGGGGAGCAAACGGG